AACGAACGCUGGCGGCAGGCUUAACACGUGCAAGUCGAGCGCCCCGCAAGGGGAGCGGCAGACGGGUGAGUAACGCGUGGGAAUCUACCCAUCCCUACGGAACAACUCCGGGAAACUGGAGCUAAUACCGUAUACGCCCCUCGGGGGAAAGAUUUAUCGGGGAUGGAUGAGCCCGCGUUGGAUUAGCUAGUUGGUGGGGUAAUGGCCUACCAAGGCGACGAUCCAUAGCUGGUCUGAGAGGAUGAUCAGCCACACUGGGACUGAGACACGGCCCAGACUCCUACGGGAGGCAGCAGUGGGGAAUAUUGGACAAUGGGCGAAAGCCUGAUCCAGCCAUGCCGCGUGAGUGAUGAAGGCCCUAGGGUUGUAAAGCUCUUUCGCACGCGACGAUGAUGACGGUAGCGUGAGAAGAAGCCCCGGCUAACUUCGUGCCAGCAGCCGCGGUAAUAC
rnacentral:rRNA from 1 species